UACGUAGGUGGCAAGCGUUGUCCGGAUUUACUGGGCGUAAAGAGCGCGCAGGCGGUCGAGUAAGUCGAAUGUGAAAGCCCCUGGCUCAACCAGGGAGGGUCAUUCGAUACUGCCCGACUCGAAGGCAGGAGAGGGAAGCGGAAUUCCCGGUGUAGUGGUGAAAUGCGUAGAUAUCGGGAGGAACACCAGUGGCGAAGGCGGCUUUCUGGCCUGUUCUUGACGCUGAGGCGCGAAAGCUAGGGGAGCAAACGGG
rnacentral:rRNA from 1 species